rnacentral:rRNA from 1 species
GAUGAACGCUGGCGGCGUGCUUAACACAUGCAAGUCGAACGGUGAAGGCGGAGCUUGCUCUGCUGGAUCAGUGGCGAACGGGUGAGUAACACGUGAGCAAUCUGCCCCUGACUCUGGGAUAAGCGCUGGAAACGGCGUCUAAUACUGGAUACGAGCUGCGAAGGCAUCUUCAGCAGCUGGAAAGAAUUUCGGUCAGGGAUGAGCUCGCGGCCUAUCAGCUUGUUGGUGAGGUAAUGGCUCACCAAGGCGUCGACGGGUAGCCGGCCUGAGAGGGUGACCGGCCUCACUGGGACUGAGACACGGCCCAGACUCCUACGGGAGGCAGCAGUGGGGAAUAUUGCACAAUGGGCGAAAGCCUGAUGCAGCAACGCCGCGUGAGGGACGACGGCCUUCGGGUUGUAAACCUCUUUUAGCAGGGAAGAAGCGAAAGUGACGGUACCUGCAGAAAAAGCGCCGGCUAACUACGUG